CCCUUAGACGUUCUGGGCCGCACGCGCGCUACACUGACCAGUGCAACAAGCAUCCGUCCUUGGCCGACAGGCCCGGGCAAUCUUUGAACGCUGGUCGUGAUGGGGAUAGACUUUUGCAAUUUUUGGUCUUCAACGAGGAAUUCCUAGUAAACGCAAGUCAUCAACUUGCGUUGAUUACGUCCCUGCCCUUUGUACACACCGCCCGUCGCACCUACCGAUUGAAUGGUCCGGUGAAGCCUCCGGAUUGGCGCGCACCUCGGUGCCGCCGAGAAGUUGGCUAAACCUUACCAUUUAGAGGAAGGUGAANUCGUANCA
rnacentral:rRNA from 1 species